GCUAUUUCUGUCUCACAUCUGUUCAAAACACCUGCAACAAGAGAGAGGCUUCUUGCUUUCCGAAGACUCAACCCUGCAGUAAGAUCAUUCAAAACAAGCACCCAGGAUUCACAAGAGGUAUCCUCAGGCUCAGUCACCAUGUCAAGUGCCGGAAAAUCUUCCAAAUCUGCCUCCAAGUUCAGCAUUGCUGAUCUUGACACUGUACGAUCCUCCAGAAGAAGGCCACUGCAAGCCCUACUGUUUCGAUCCCCAAGGCACCCACUAAAGGAAGGGGUGGCAAGAAAAGGAAAACCUCUGAGGCUGAGGAUCUGCAAGGCCUGCCACUGAUCCGCCACCAGUUCCUUGAAUACUUCAAUGAUAAAUUUGCUGAGAUCGAAGACUAUGUUGGGAGCGUUGAAGAGCUGGACAAGAAGUAUGUAGACCUUCAACAAGUUGCGGUGCUCAAGGAUCACAAGAUUGCUGACCUCCAAAAAGCCCUUCAAGACGCCAAGACCGAGACGGCUAAGGUCCUGAUCAACACUGACUACGAGAAGCAUGAGCUCAUGGAAGGUGCAAAGGUCUCCGCUGCCAUUACUAUGUACAAGACAAAACUGAAGAUGGCCCAGGAAGCUCAGGAUCCUGACUUCGACAGAAGCAGCUGGGAUGUUGAGGGCUGGAAGGCGAGGCUAGCUGAGCUGGAGGACGAAGAUGAGGCUGAAGAGGUUUUAGCAAUCGAGGCUGGAGGCAGUGGAAAGGAUCAUGGUGGAGAAGCUAGUGGAGCGGCUGAGGAUGAUGCAGCUAAGGUGUAGGCUACAGCAAUGGGCGAUGAUGGACACUUCUAGACAUAGCCGGAGCCCAUUUUUUAAGUUUGGUAGUGGUUUUUGGUUGUGAUGUUUUCGUUAAACAAUGGUUGGUCUGUACUUUGAAUAAUGGUUUUUAGGGUUAAGGAUCUAUGAUCCUUUGAACAA